rnacentral:rRNA from 1 species
CAUGCAGUCGAGCGGAUGAGUGGAGCUUGCUCCAUGAUUCAGCGGCGGACGGGUGAGUAAUGCCUAGGAAUCUGCCUGGUAGUGGGGGACAACGUUUCGAAAGGAACGCUAAUACCGCAUACGUCCUACGGGAGAAAGUGGGGGAUCUUCGGACCUCACGCUAUCAGAUGAGCCUAGGUCGGAUUAGCUAGUUGGCGAGGUAAAGGCUCACCAAGGCGACGAUCCGUAACUGGUCUGAGAGGAUGAUCAGUCACACUGGAACUGAGACACGGUCCAGACUCCUACGGGAGGCAGCAGUGGGGAAUAUUGGACAAUGGGCGAAAGCCUGAUCCAGCCAUGCCGCGUGUGUGAAGAAGGUCUUCGGAUUGUAAAGCACUUUAAGUUGGGAGGAAGGGCAGUAAGCUAAUACCUUGCUGUUUUGACGUUACCGACAGAAUAAGCACCGGCUAACUUCGUGCCAGCAGCCGCGGUAAUACGAAGGGUGCAAGCGUUAAUCGGAAUUACUGGGCGUAAAGCGCGCGUAGGUGGUUCGUUAAGUUGGAUGUGAAAGCCCCGGGCUCAACCUGGGAACUGCAUCCAA